GACGAACGCUGGCGGCGUGCUUAACACAUGCAAGUCGAACGGAAAGGCCCUGCUUUUGUGGGGUGCUCGAGUGGCGAACGGGUGAGUAACACGUGAGUAACCUGCCCUUGACUUUGGGAUAACUUCAGGAAACUGGGGCUAAUACCGGAUAGGAGCUCCUGCUGCAUGGUGGGGGUUGGAAAGUUUCGGCGGUUGGGGAUGGACUCGCGGCUUAUCAGCUUGUUGGUGGGGGAGUGGCUUACCAAGGCUUUGACGGGUAGCCGGCCUGAGAGGGUGACCGGCCACAUUGGGACUGGGAUACGGCCCAGACUCCUACGGGAGGCAGCAGUGGGGAAUAUUGCACAAUGGGCGGAAGCCUGAUGCAGCAACGCCGCGUGCGGGAUGACGGCUUUCGGGUUGUAAACCGCUUUCGCCUGUGACGAAGCGUGAGUGACGGUAAUGGGUAAAGAAGCCCCGGCUAACUACGUG
rnacentral:rRNA from 1 species